CCUGGUGGCUCAGAUGGUAAAGCGUCUGCCUGCAAUGCGGGAGACCUGGGUUCGAUUCCUGGGUCAGGA
rfam:Ovis aries breed Texel chromosome 2, whole genome shotgun sequence.